GAAUGUUAUCACGGGAGACACACGGCGGGUGCUAACGUCCGUCGUGAAGAGGGAAACAACCCAGACCGCCAGCUAAGGUCCCAAAGUCAUGGUUAAGUGGGAAACGAUGUGGGAAGGCCCAGACAGCCAGGAUGUUGGCUUAGAAGCAGCCAUCAUUUAAAGAAAGCGUAAUAGCUCACUGGUCGAGUCGGCCUGCGCGGAAGAUGUAACGGGGCUAAACCAUGCACCGAAGCUGCGGCAGCGAACGUAUCACUUAAAGCGAUUCAGCGGGUUACGAUUGACGGAGCGAAGCGACGUCAAAGCGUAUACAAAGUCGAGUCGGUUUAAGGAUACGUUCGUUGGGUAGGGGAGCGUUCUGUAAGCCCGUGAAGGUGGCCUGUGAGGGUUGCUGGAGGUAUCAGAAGUGCGAAUGCUGACAUAAGUAACGAUAAAGCGGGUGAAAAGCCCGCUCGCCGGAAGACCAAGGGUUCCUGUCCAACGUUAAUCGGGGCAGGGUGAGUCGACCCCUAAGGCGAGGCCGAAAGGCGUAGUCGAUGGGAAACGGGUUAAUAUUCCCGUACUUGGUGUUACUGCGAAGGGGGGACGGAGAAGGCUAUGUUGGCCGGGCGACGGUUGUCCCGGUUUAAGCGUGUAGGUGUGUGUUCCAGGUAAAUCCGGUUCACUUUAACACUGAGGCGUGACGACGAGGCACUACGGUGCUGAAGCAACAAAUGCCCUGCUUCCAGGAAAAGCCUCUAAGCAUCAGGUAACAUCAAAUCGUACCCCAAACCGACACAGGUGGUCAGGUAGAGAAUACCAAGGCGCUUGAGAGAACUCGGGUGAAGGAACUAGGCAAAAUGGUGCCGUAACUUCGGGAGAAGGCACGCUGACACGUAGGUGAAGUGAUUUACUCAUGGAGCUGAAGUCAGUCGAAGAUACCAGCUGGCUGCAACUGUUUAUUAAAAACACAGCACUGUGCAAACACGAAAGUGGACGUAUACGGUGUGACGCCUGCCCGGUGCCGGAAGGUUAAUUGAUGGGGUCAGCGUAAGCGAAGCUCCUGAUCGAAGCCCCGGUAAACGGCGGCCGUAACUAUAACGGUCCUAAGGUAGCGAAAUUCCUUGUCGGGUAAGUUCCGACCUGCACGAAUGGCGUAAUGAUGGCCAGGCUGUCUCCACCCGAGACUCAGUGAAAUUGAACUCGCUGUGAAGAUGCAGUGUACCCGCGGCAAGACGGAAAGACCCCGUGAACCUUUACUAUAGCUUGACACUGAACAUUGAGCCUUGAUGUGUAGGAU
rnacentral:rRNA from 1 species